UGCAGAUCUGUCUUUAUGCUACUUGCUGGGCUUAAGCAAAUGCCAGGGGAGGGGGGGAGAAAAGGGAGGCUUCUCCCAUUUUGUUUGUUCCAUUAGCAACUGUUUGUGGAAGCCCAAUGGUGGUGUAUUACCAAUCCCCCUCCCCCCUCAGAAAACUUCGACAUUGAAUAUUGGCACAAUGAAAUGUGGGAAAGGGAUGGCUGCAGACAAAUAGCUAGGGAGAAGAAAUAUAAUUUUGUAUUCCUAAUAACCUUUUGUUUUGCAAAAGUAUUAAAUCCAGAUGUGGUCUUGAAAACUGGCACAUUGGCUGGCUUGGCAGUGUUUCUGACAUUAUAAGGGCCAUUAAGAAUUAGUUGCAGGUGGAAAGGUUGACCUUUCUCUUUACGCCCUUAAUAAAGAACAUUUGAAAAUGGCUAGGGACCCAACCACAGGGGGGCAAUUUCUAAUAGUCUAGUAAGCAAAUUCUUCUCUGUCUUGUAAAGAUUCAGAAAGCUUUUGGCUUCUCCUUCAACUACCUGAAAAAAGAUGAUUUGCUUUAUGGGGGGCGGUAGGGGUGCAUGGCAGCAAUUCAGAGAGGCAGUUAAAUAGCUGAAUGCAGUGGCUUUGCACUUGCACCUAAGGGGCAGUGUAUCUCUGCCUGCAACUGUCCUGAUUAGGCAGCAUCUGUUCCAAGGGGCAGUUCAGAGUUAAGAGUUAGUUGCAAUUGUUCACUAUCCUGUGUUUCAGUCUUUGGAAUAAAAUAUUCAUCUCCUUCUCCUUGUGCCCCUUGCUACCUCCCAAUGACUAUUAUUAGUAGCUUUUUGUAAAACUCCCCUCAAUUUUACAAGUUCAUAAGUUGCACUUAAUGUUUAAACUUAAUUUUGUUUUCAGAAAUAUUUCAGUCUGUUUUUCCCUACUAACUUUAAUUCUUAUCCUUUAGGUGAAGAUAAUAUCAGCUGGAUGAAACUAGAACACUUCCAUAUAAGUUGACCAAUAGCCAGUAUAUGCCCACACAAUUGAAUGUUAUAGAGAGAAGCACUCUGCAAUACAUAGGAGAAGAAUGGUACAUGUGAUUGCAAAAAGGAGGAGUCCAUGGAUGCAGUAGCACUUUCUUGAAAUCUUCAAUAAACUAUUAAGAAACUAUUAA